rnacentral:rRNA from 1 species
UACGGAGGGUGCGAGCGUUGUCCGGAAUCAUUGGGCGUAAAGGGCGCGUAGGUGGCCCGGUCAGUUCGUGGUGAAAGCGCGGGGCUCAACCCUGCGUCGGCCAUGAAUACUGCCGCGGCUGGAGCACUGUAGAGGCAGGCGGAAUUCCGGGUGUAGCGGUGGAAUGCGUAGAUAUCGGGAGGAACACCUGUGGCGAAGGCGACUACCUGGCCUGUUCUUGACGCUGAGGCGCGAAAGCUAGGGGAGCAAACGGG